GACGUUGGCCUUGAGGGCGGUGCAGAGGCAGAGGGCAGCCUCGUCGUCGGCAAGCCCUUCCACCAGACUGCAGCAGGGCUUCUUCGGCGGCUUGCCGAUCUCGACGUUGAUCAAUUUGAGGACGUCGCUGCAGGCGGCAAAUUUGAGGGUGUCCACGGGGCAUUUGCCGGAGGGGGCAGGGCUCGGGGUUGGCUUCGGCUUCGGCUUCGGCUUGGGUUUGGGCUUCGGCGUCGGGGUAGGGCAGUAGCCGCAGGCGCUGGUGAGGACCCAGAAGAGGACGUUGAACAAGAGGAAAAGAGCGAUCGAGCUUGUGGUCUUGGACGCCAUGGUCUCUUCCACUCUAGUGAACACUAAGUGCUCG
rnacentral:lncRNA from 1 species